GAUGAACGCUGGCGGCGUGCCUAAUACAUGCAAGUCGAGCGAACAGACGAGGAGCUUGCUCCUCUGACGUUAGCGGCGGACGGGUGAGUAACACGUGGAUAACCUACCUAUAAGACUGGGAUAACUUCGGGAAACCGGAGCUAAUACCGGAUAAUAUAUUGAACCGCAUGGUUCAAUAGUGAAAGACGGCUUUGCUGUCACUUAUAGAUGGAUCCGCGCCGCAUUAGCUAGUUGGUAAGGUAACGGCUUACCAAGGGGACGAUGCGUAGCCGACCUGAGAGGGUGAUCGGCCACACUGGAACUGAGACACGGUCCAGACUCCUACGGGAGGCAGCAGUAGGGAAUCUUCCGCAAUGGGCGAAAGCCUGACGGAGCAACGCCGCGUGAGUGAUGAAGGUCUUCGGAUCGUAAAACUCUGUUAUUAGGGAAGAACAAAUGUGUAAGUAACUAUGCACGUCUUGACGGUACCUAAUCAGAAAGCCACGGCUAACUACGUG
rnacentral:rRNA from 1 species